rnacentral:sRNA from 1 species
GUGGCAUUGGGAGGCCCGGCCUGGGGGAGGAGACGGCGUUCCGUUAGCGGCGUUGGGGUUUGGCUGCAGUGGAAGUGCUUUCUCCUCUGCUCACGGGGACCCGCUCAGGCUGGAGGCCAGCCAGCUCUUGCCGCCACCUCGGUCGCGAUGGGGGCGCAGGACCGGCCGCAGUGCCACUUCGACAUCGAGAUCAACCGGGAGCCGGUUGGUCGCAUUAUGUUUCAGCUCUUCUCAGACAUAUGUCCAAAAACAUGCAAAAACUUCCUUUGCUUGUGCUCAGGAGAGAAAGGCCUUGGGAAAACAACUGGGAAGAAGUUAUGUUAUAAAGGUUCUACGUUCCAUCGUGUGGUUAAAAACUUUAUGAUUCAGGGUGGGGACUUCAGUGAAGGUAGAGCUAAAAGUUGUGUUCCUAAUAACUCCAUCUAUCAGUUUUUAAAGUAUUUCAUUAUUACUUUUACUUCUAAAUAUUGUGUCAAUUACAGUAUGAUAUAAAAUGUGGUCAGUGAAUACUUGUUGGAUGAGUGAAUAUUAUAGAUCCAGAAUGUAUGAAAAAGCAAAGUACCACGUAAGACAUUUUAUUUUGUUUUUAUGCAGUUUAUUUUAUUAAUAUUAUAGUUACUUAGUGAAUUCCUUUACAAUGAAUGCCAAAGUACUGUCUGAUUGCUUUUGUUCUGGAAUGUUUUUGGUGUUAUUACUGUUUGAAAUAAGUAGGUUGUGAAGAUGACUUUUUUGAUGGUAUUUAUUGUAAUGGGACUUGACAUAUAUUUUAAAGAUGAAGUUAAUUGAGGACUCUGAGAAUUUUGAUUAUUGCAGCAGUUAUAACAUUCCAAGGUUUCCUUCAGCAAAUUGAAGCUAUCAAAAAUGAUUUCUGUGUUAGUAUAUUUUUAAUGUUCAUUAUGGCUUAAAGUAGGUGAUUAUUUGCAGGUAAUGGAAAAGGUGGAGAAUCAAUUUAUGGUGGAUAUUUUAAAGAGAAUGUGGUCUUUUGCAAAAUGAAAAGGUAAGAGAACGAAGCUCAGUAACACAAACUCCAAUUCUGUUCCCUUGCACCCUUCCUAAUAAAUUUAUGGACAGUCUGGGUCAGGUUGUGGCUGGAUUUCUAUAUUGCUUGAAGACUUGGAAAAUUCUGUGUAUUAUUUCAUACAUGCUUCUGUAUCUUUUUUCAUUUCCCAAUGGGUUAUUAAUUUCACAUCAGAGAAAAGAGUCUAGUUGUGGGGUUUUUUUCCCCCUAAACCAAGCAAUUUCUUUGAAUAAAAGUUGAAAUUUCCUUUUUCAAAGGUUUGUAUGUUUUCUUUUGUAUAUUAGAACUAUGACUGUGUUUAUUCUCAUAAUAGUAGCAUCUGCAUAAAUCUAACUAUUGCACUUGCCCCAAAAAGCCUUAGAAAAGUCAGUUGCAGAGAUUUGUAAUGAAAUCUAAUAUUACUAGGUUUUAACGCUAUAAUAGCUUCAGUGUUAUAAUAGUCUUUUAUAUUUCCUUUGGGGGAAAAUGGAUUACUACUCUUUUUCAGAAGCCUGUUCCCAAGGUAAUCACUUUUUAAAGUUUUCUGUGUUUCUGUUUGUUCUGAAGAAGAUUUGUUUGUAUGAAUGUUAAAAGGACAUUUAAGUUAGUUUUCAAGGAUAUUCCUGCUGGAAUUAAAAUAACUCUAAGUGAUCUUUAUCACAGAUUUUUUUUUCCUUUGAACUAGUAGGAAACAGCUAUUUAGCCGGUUCUAUUAUGUAGCAAUUUAAAACUAAUACUGUAGGCCACUUUGUGGUUGUUCCCUGUGGCAGAUACUUUUGUACCUUAAAAUUGUAUUUUGCUAUUUAAAUUUUUGUUUCACAGGGCUUUCUUCCUUAGAUAAUUUUGUGAUACAAUUGAGUAUACACAUACUUAAUUUAGAUAUGUUCCUGUAACUUAAUAUAACAUAAUUUUUUUGUCUUACAGUCUAGCUUCAAUUAAGUUGAAUAAUAAAUUUACCGUAUAAAAAUUAAACACCUAAAAAGAUUAUUAAACUUCUUCCAUGUAUAGCACAUUAGGCAAGCUAAUUGAAAAUUUGGAGGAAGUAGGCUAGAGAUUUUUCUAAAAUUUUACUAGUUUUCCCUGAAAGUUAAUAAUUUAAAUAUCAUUUAGCCAAAGUAUGUUACUACUAAAAGUGACUGUUCUAAGGCUGUUUGUGUGAAGUAUUAAAUAUAUGUUCUUUUCCUCAAGGCUUUAAUUAGUAUCUUUUGGCCUUUUUAUGCUUUUGUUAUUUGAUUAGCUUAAAUUUUUCUUUUCUGAGUGUUCAGUCAAGUUAUCUGUACUGACCAGAAGAGGAAUUUCAUCUUUUGCUUUCUAUUUAUUACUUGAACAUUACUUUAAAGUGACUUAUAAUUGGAGACUGACAAAUUUGUGUUUUCUUCAAACAGAUGAAAACUUUAUUCUCAAACAUGACAGAGCGUUCCUUUUAUCAAUGGCAAAUCGAGGGAAACAUACCAAUGGUUCCCAGUUUUUCAUAAAGAGUGUUACACCGUGCGCUCCACAGGUAAUGUCUCAUUACUCUAAGGCUCUCUCUCUUUCUUUGCCUUUAUCUCUUUAAUUCUGUUGUUAUGUGCAUUGAAACAUUUUAAGAAAAAAAAAACUUUCUGCUUUAUCUGUAUAGCAGCAGUACAUGUAAAACAAGUGCAUUUUAUUUUUCAUGGUUAAUCCUGGGAACUAUAUUUUAACUUCAGUGGCUUGUUUCCACCAAGUUCCUGUACAUCUUCUGGUGGGGGAGUGGGGUUAUUAGUUUAUAGUAUGGUUUUAGUUCUCAUUUCAGUGUGGAAUUAGUCAUUUCUGUAUAAGGGCAAAAGGUUCUCUGAUAAUGGUAUAAAACUAUAGAUUGUUUUUGGAGUAGCAGUGACACUUGUCAAUUUCUAGGAUUUAUAAGGCUUAAAUACCUUGCACACAUGUUUUUUAAAGUAGAUUCAGGGGUCGGGAAAACUGAAAAAUCACUGUCUUUAAGUACAAGAGAAAAAUGGAAAUGCAUAAAUAUUGAAAGGUUUUAUAAUUUGAAAUGUUCUUUGUGGUUUUUUCUUUUUUAGGUAUGUUUUCAUAAGCAUAUAUAAAUUUAAACAUUUUUGAUAGCCUCUGGCCUUAACUUACUGAGCAUGUGUCACCAUUGCAUAGCUCUUUAAACAGCCGCUUUUAAGAUCAAUGCAAUUUUUUUUUAAUUGAAGGUUUUGAAAGAUUAAGAGUUAGUGAGAUGAGCUCUCUGCCUCUUUUAGUAGAAUUGAAUAGUCUGGACUGUGAAUAUUAUUUCUCUCGGCCCUUUUGUAACCCUCUUUGGCUAAUGUCCUCUGUUCAUCCACGUAUUAGCCAAGUGCCAGUAACCCUGCUUUACAUUGGGAUUUCUACUCCUGGAAUGUAGGUUGAGAACCCCAGAGGGCUUCUUUUUGUUAAAUACUUUUAGUAUUCUUAAUAUGUAAUCUAACCCAAUUAAAGUGCAGACUUAUAUUUCUGUAUCUUGAGUUGCAGAUGCAAGUAAUGGACUUUAAUCAUUCCUAUCAGGUUUAGGCACUAUGGGCAGGCUGAGUUGUCCUUGAAAGAGUCAUUCGUGUCUUCAUUUGUUUUCUGCACUACUGCUAUAAAGGACCAAGUUUGCCUAUUCUUGGCAGUUUUCAUUUGAAUUAAAAACUAAACUUGAAUGUCAUAAAGAUAGCUAUUCCAUCCUCAAAUUGAGUCUCAAGUAGUAUGUUGCUGCAUCGCUACACUACUCUGGAAUGUUUUAUUCCACCAUUUUCUCCAAAGGUUUGCCAUAAAGUGGUUUUUACAGCCUUUCUAUCAGCCAAGAUGGCAAAUUGAAUUGGGCUCUUUAUGUUUUAAGAAAAAUUUGCAGGCUUUCCCCAAUACUGCAGGAUCUGUGAGUCAUGGGAGAAAGGAUCAAAGAAGGAGAAGGAAUGUAUCUAAUCAGGAAACCAUACAUCGUUUUUACUUCUACAUAUUUGGGGCUGAUCCCUUACACUGUAGAAAAAUUUACUUUUUUAAAAGCACUUUUGGCUGGGCGUGGUGGCUCACGCCUAUAAUCCCAGCACUUUGAGAGGCUGAGGCAGGUGGAUCACCUGAGGUCAGGAGUUUGAGACCAGCUUGGCCAACAUGGUGAAACCCCGUCUCUACUAAAGUUACAGAAAUUAGAUGGGCCUGGUGGCGCAUGCCUGUAAUCCCAGCUACUCAGGAGGCUGAGGCAGGAGAAUCACUUGAAUCCGGGAGGCAGAGGUUGCAUUGAGCCGAGAUCGUGCCAUCGCACUCUAGCCUGGGCAACAGAGUGAGACUCCAUCUCAAAAUAAACAAACAAAUAAAAAUAAAAGCACUCUUUACAUCUUUCAUAUAAUAGAGUCACUAGCUUCUGUACCAAUUUCUUGUCUUUAGUGUACUUUGGUAAAGUUUUAUAAUUAAAGCACAUUUCUAUCUUGAAGUUACCAUCCAAGGUGGUUUCUGGAUGCUAGUUUAAUGGUUUAAAUACUAGUGGCUCACUAAUUCACUAGAUAGUUUUUGUUCUGUUUUCUUUUUGCUGCCUGUUUUUAUUUUUAUAAUUACAUUGGCAUGAAUUUCCACUUUUCAAUCUUCUAAGGAAUAUUUGAGAUUUUUGCUUUUAAAACUUAGUAUUUCCUUUAAAAUUCUGGAACUUCUUAAGUUGACAUUUUAAUUUUUUUAAAUUAAAUUCUGUAGUGCUCUUACAGAACCGAAUAUUCUUAAUGUAAGUAUAAGCAUUACAAAUCCUCGUAGAAUAAAUAUUUUUAGCAUUGUUACGAAGGUUAAAAACUGGGUUUUGUUCAUUUACAUGUCUUAAAAUUGCCUUAAAAUGAAUACAGAAAUUUAUAUGGCAGCUUCUAGUACAGUUUACUGCUUUAACAUGGCCUGACAUCUAGUGAUAUUUUUCUCUCUUUCAAAUUUCUGUUUUCUAUCUCUUAAAUAUCUGUUUCUCAUUCUUAUAAAUCAAGAUGCUUGUAGUAUAUAAUUCUGAGACUAAUUAUCUGCUUUUGAAUUUUUUCCACUGCAAUUCAUAUAAUGUGAAGAUCUGUGAAAAUGCUAUGGGAAAACUAGCUUGGGUUCAAAAUAUCUUAACCAAAUAUACCCUGUAGGCUUCCCAAGAGUGACUGUCUAUCAGUUGGUGACUGUAGAAGAAGCCAGUUGGGUGUUUUCUGGGCCAAGGAAAUUUAAAAUGUCUGUAAUGUUAUCCAUCAUUACUUUUUGCUGUCAGAAGGGAUGGCAGAUUGAAGCUUUUCUCCCUAUCGCAUUUUCAGAGUUGCUGUGUCAGAGCUUCACCUUGGGUGAAGGAAGAUGGGCAGGAAUUCUGGAAACAGAACUCCUGAGACCUACCUCUGCCUGCCUAAAAAUGUGGACUGACUCAGUAUGAGAAAUAACAAAUAAGAAAACAUUUAAGUGUUUGGGGCAAAUGUUAAUCACACUUUCUUUCCAUAGGGCAAAUAGGAGGUGCUUUUCUUAUUUAAUUACGCUGAUAAAUUUUGAGGGUUUUUUUUUAAGUGUUUUGUUUUGUUGUUUUGGAGUUGAGAGUAACUUUAAUUUUUAUGUGUAUUCAUGCUGUGUAUUUAUGGCUACAAGUCAAACUGAUUUCAUAUGUAUGCAUACAUAUAGUCUAAUAGAGAUGGUUGUAAUUCAUUAUAAUCUUGAGUUUUUUAAAUUAGUAAGAUGGCUACUAUUGCUGUUUUGGGGUUUUUAAGGUUAGAUAUAUAUCAUGUUUAACUUUUUCCCCUAUCUUUUUAUCUUUACUUCUUUGUUCUCUACAUGCUGUGUUUAAACCUUUCUGCUCUCUUCACCUGAACACAUCGUGUUUGACAUCAUCUUUGUGUUGAUGUUUAUUACAUAGUACCACAAAGCCUGCUCCACACCUGGAUGGGGUGCAUGUCGUCUUUGGACUGGUUAUUUCUGGUUUUGAAGUAAUCGAACAAAUUGAAAAUCUGAAGACCGAUGCUGCAAGCAGACCAUAUGCAGAUGUGCGAGUUAUUGACUGUGGAGUACUUGCCACAAAAUCAAUAAAAGAUGUUUUUGAGAAAAAAAGGAAGAAACCAACUCAUUCAGAAGGCUCGGAUUCCUCUUCCAAUUCCUCUUCUUCUUCAGAAUCAUCUUCAGAAAGUGAAAUUGAACAUGAGAGAAGCAGAAGGAGGAAACAUAAGAGGAGGCCAAAAGUUAAACGUUCUAAAAAGAGGCGAAAGGAAGCAAGCAGUUCAGAAGAGCCAAGGAAUAAACAUGUAAUGAACCCAAAAGGUCACUCUGAGAGGAGUGAUACCAAUGAAAAAAGGUCAGUUGAUUCCAGUGCUAAAAGGGAAAAACCUGUGGUCCGCCCAGAAGAGAUUCCUCCAGUGCCUGAGAACCGAUUUUUACUGAGAAGAGAUAUGCCUGUUGUUACUGCAGAACCUGAACCGAAGAUUCCUGAUGUUGCACCCAUUGUAAGUGAUCAGAAACCAUCUGUAUCAAAGUCUGGACGGAAGAUUAAAGGAAGGGGCACAAUUCGCUAUCACACACCUCCAAGAUCAAGAUCCUGUUCUGAGUCAGAUGAUGAUGACAGCAGUGAAACUCCUCCUCACUGGAAAGAGGAAAUGCAGAGAUUAAGAGCAUAUAGACCACCUAGUGGAGAAAAAUGGAGUAAAGGAGAUAAGUUAAGUGACCCCUGUUCAAGCCGAUGGGAUGAAAGAAGCUUGUCUCAGAGAUCCAGAUCAUGGUCCUAUAAUGGAUAUUAUUCAGACCUUAGUACAGCAAGACACUCUGAUGGCCACCAUAAAAAACGCAGAAAAGAAAAAAAGGUUAAGCAUAAAAAGAAAGGGAAAAAGCAGAAACACUGCAGAAGACACAAACAAACAAAGAAGAGAAGGAUUCUUAUACCGUCUGACAUAGAAUCCUCAAAAUCUUCCACUCGAAGAAUGAAAUCCUCUUGUGAUAGAGAAAGGAGUUCUCGUUCUUCCUCAUUGUCGUCUCAUCACUCAUCAAAGAGAGACUGGUCUAAAUCUGAUAAGGAUGUCCAGAGCUCUUUAACCCAUUCCAGCAGAGACUCAUACAGAUCAAAAUCUCACUCACGGUCUUAUUCUAGAGGAAGCUCAAGAUCAAGGACUGCGUCAAAGUCCUCAUCACAUUCUCGAAGUAGAUCAAAGUCCAGAUCUAGUUCCAAGUCUGGGCACCGAAAGAGAGCAUCAAAAUCACCAAGAAAAACAGCUUCUCAGUUAAGUGAAAAUAAACCAGUUAAAACAGAACCUUUAAGAGCAACCAUGGCACAAAAUGAAAAUGUAGUAGUACAACCAGUUGUAGCAGAAAAUAUUCCUGUAAUACCACUGAGUGACAGUCCCCCCCCUUCAAGAUGGAAGCCUGGACAGAAACCUUGGAAGCCCUCUUAUGAGCGAAUUCAGGAAAUGAAAGCUAAAACAACCCAUUUGCUACCCAUCCAAAGCACUUACAGUUUAGCAAAUAUUAAAGAGACUGGUAGCUCAUCAUCCUACCAUAAAAGAGAAAAAAAUUCAGAAAGUGAUCAGAGCACUUAUUCAAAAUACAGUGAUAGAAGUUCAGAAAGCUCACCAAGGUCAAGGAGCAGAUCUUCUAGGAGUAGAUCUUAUUCCAGAUCAUAUACAAGAUCACGUAGUCUAGCUAGUUCACAUUCAAGGUCUAGGUCUCCAUCAUCUAGAUCUCAUUCACGAAAUAAAUACAGUGAUCAUUCACAGUGUAGUAGAUCAUCUUCAUAUACUUCUAUUAGCAGUGAUGAUGGAAGGCGAGCUAAGAGGAGACUUAGAUCCAGUGGGAAAAAAAAUAGUGUUUCACAUAAAAAGCAUAGCAGCAGCUCUGAAAAGACACUUCACAGUAAAUAUGUCAAAGGUAGAGACAGGUCUUCAUGUGUGAGAAAGUAUAGCGAGAGCAGAUCAUCUUUAGAUUAUUCUUCAGACAGUGAGCAGUCAAGUGUUCAGGCCACACAGUCAGCCCAGGAAAAAGAGAAGCAGGGCCAAAUGGAAAGAACACAUAAUAAACAAGAAAAAAA